GGCAGACCCAGGGAACUGAAACAUCUAAGUACCUGGAGGAAGAGAAAGAAAAAUCGAUUUCCUGAGUAGCGGCGAGCGAAACGGAAAGAGCCCAAACCAAGAAGCUUGCUUCUUGGGGUUGUAGGACACUCUAUACGGAGUUACAAAAGAAAGUUAUAAAUGAAGCGGUCUGGAAAGGCCCGCCAAAGACGGUAACAGCCCGGUAGUUGAAAUGGCUUUCCCUCCAGAGUGGAUCCUGAGUACGGCGGAACACGUGAAAUUCCGUCGGAAUCCGGGAGGACCAUCUCCCAAGGCUAAAUACUCCCUAGUGACCGAUAGUGAACCAGUACCGUGAGGGAAAGGUGAAAAGCACCCCGGAAGGGGAGUGAAACAGUUCCUGAAACCGUGUGCCUACAAGUAGUUAGAGCCCGUUAAUGGGUGAUAGCGUGCCUUUUGUAGAAUGAACCGGCGAGUUACGAUUUGUUGCAAGGUUAAGCGGAAAAAGCGGAGCCGUAGCGAAAGCGAGUCUGAAUAGGGCGCAUAAGUAACAGGUCGUAGACCCGAAACCAGGUGAUCUACCCAUGUCCAGGAUGAAGGUAAGGUAAUACUUACUGGAGGUCCGAACCCACGCACGUUGAAAAGUGCGGGGAUGAGGUGUGGGUAGCGGAGAAAUUCCAAUCGAACUUGGAGAUAGCUGGUUCUCUCCGAAAUAGCUUUAGGGCUAGCCUCGAGGUAAAGAGUCAUGGAGGUAGAGCACUGUUUGGACUAGGGGCCCUUCUCGGGUUACCGAAUUCAGAUAAACUCCGAAUGCCAUGUACUUAUACUCGGGAGUCAGACUGCGAGUGAUAAGAUCCGUAGUCGAAAGGGAAACAGCCCAGACCACCAGUUAAGGUCCCCAAAUAUAUGUUAAGUGGAAAAGGAUGUGGGGUUGCUUAGACAACCAGGAUGUUGGCUUAGAAGCAGCCACCAUUGAAAGAGUGCGUAAUAGCUC
rnacentral:rRNA from 1 species